AAUUUGCUCUGGUGUUGCUUUGCACUGUUUCAAGGAGAGGUAUCAGGUGUUUCUGGAAGCCCUUGGCACUCCUACAUGAGCGAAGCACUACCUCAGUAGUUGGAACCAAACCACUCAAUCUCCUUGCUCCUGCCUACCAGUAAGAGACAUUAUUCUGGAAGAAGUACAUCUGAAGAAUUCAGAUGCUUUUUUGGCUGAGUUUACACUGGAGACUUUCCUGGCUCAUUUCAAGAAUGAGAAAAUGCAAAAGUAUCUGUUGAAACAAGAUCACUAAUGAAGAGAACAACCCCCUCCUUCCUGGGUUACUGGUGUCUCUACCUGGUAUGAUGUUCCUGCAAGCGCUGAGGUGCCUGUUCAAACACUAGUGGCUGGAUUUGUCACACAAGUUGCUGCUCUGCUAGACAUGUUUAUUAAAUCAGAACCAAUGGCCUUGGACUGAUGUGCUUACACAGGCUGAUCUGUGGAC